CUACGGGGCGCUCCAGUGGGGAAUAUUGCACAAUGGGCGCAAGCCUGAUGCAGCAACGCCGCGUGAGGGAUGAAGGCCUUCGGGUUGUAAACUUCUUUUAGCAGGGAAGAAGCGAAAGUGACGGUACCUGCAGAAAAAGCACCGGCUAACUACGUGCCAGCAGCCGCGGUAAUACGUAGGGUGCAAGCGUUGUCCGGAAUAUUGGGCGUAAAGAGCUCGUAGGCGGUUUGUCACGUCUGCUGUGAAAAUCCAAGGCUCAACCUUGGACUUGCAGUGGGUACGGGCAGGCUAGAGUGCGGUAGGGGAGAUGGGAAUUCCCGGUGUAGCGGUGGAAUGCGCAGAUAUCAGGAGGAACACCAAUGGCGAAGGCACAUCUCUGGGCCGUAACUGACGCUGAGGAGCGAAAGCGUGGGGAGCGAACAGGAUUAGAUACCCCCGUAGUC
rnacentral:rRNA from 1 species